GUAUCUGAGCAGAGCGGUUUCACUUGGUCAUUGCUCUACGUUCAGUGGCUCACUUGCUUGGGGGAAGGUAAUACCAGCCCACACUGGUGAUUGCAGAAUGCACAUUCAUGUUCUUUUCUUGCUUGCUGGGCAUGAGAGGGUUACAGUAGCCUGGAAUGCAGAGAGCAGCAGCCAAAAGUACUUGGGAAAUGGCACCAGGGCUAUGACUUCCAAUAACCUGGGCGGUCACAUCUGUUCCUAUCCCAGAGUGCGUCACCAGCGUCCAGGGACAGCUGCCAGAGAUUUGGAGACAUCUGCACAGUCCAGGCCUGUGCUUGGGGUGGAGAGGAAACCAGCCUGAUUACCUGCCUUCUUGUUUACCUACAAGGGACCUACACCCCAAGAAUGUGGGGAGUGGGCUAAGGACCCUGAAGAACCCUCAGAGUGGACCCAGAAUCUGGAACGACAGACCACAGCCCAAGGGAGCUAGAGUUGGUGACUGUCGUCUGCAGGGUCAUGGCCUCUGCAGCCCUCAGCUUCGCAGCAUGACAUCAGAGAAGAGGUGUUCCCACUUUAACCCUCUCAUGCUGCAGGAAGGAAACAGAUUUUAAAAAGAUUCAGUGUCGGGCACAGAGUCAUUGUGUUGCUUCCCUGAGCCCCUGCUUCUCCCUGCCACUCACAGUUCAGUGUUUUGCUCCUGAACUGUUCUAGGUCUGAGUCUGUGGGAUCAGCUGGGGCUGAUGGCUAAGAGCCUACAAAUUCAGGAGAGCCCAUGUGCAGCCGACUGUGUUAGCGCAAAGGGAAACCGUGGAUCCGCAGACAGGGUCAGGUCUCCACUGCAGUUACUGACGGUCAGACAGCAUUUCAUCAGACUGCACUAUUGUUCAGCCUGCUAGCUCCAAAGACACAUCCACCUGUUACAACAUCUUUUAAGUAAAAUAUACAUUUUAUUCUAGAGUUUCAGAAAAACUGUGAAGUAACAUAAUUACUAUGCCCCUGUCCUGUUCUGCCGUACGAACAUCUUAUAUUGCUAUGGUCCAUUGGUCAUGAUUAAUGAACCUGGCACGACAUAUUAAAGUCUGUGCUUUAUUCAGUUACUUUAGUUUCUGCUCAACACCCUUUCCAGAACUAGGAUCCCAUGCAGGCUACCACGCUACAUUUCCUCCUUAACGGCUUCCUGGUGUGGUGAAGUCUAGACUUCCCUUGGCUUUGAUGACCCCUUUUUAAGGGGCAUCGGUCAGACAUUUUAUAGCUAAAAUGCUCCCCACCCCUUGGAUUUCAGGGGCUGGAGAGAUGGCUCAGUGGACUGAGAAUACUGGUUGCUCUUUCAGAGGACCAGAGUUCAGCUCCCAUCACCCACAUGGGGUGGCUUACAGCCUCUGACAACUCUAGCUCCAGGGGACCCGAUGCCUUCCUCUGGCCCUGGCAGGCACCCACACACA